ACUGACAGCCAUGGUUACCGCGGCUGCUGGCACGGAGUUAGCCGGUGCUUCUUCUGUGAGUGAUGUCCUUCCUGCCGGCUAUUAACCCGCAGGCCUUCUUCCUCACUGAAAGUGCUUUACAACCCGAAGGCCUUCUUCACACACGCGGCAUGGCUGGAUCAGGGUUGCCCCCAUUGUCCAAUAUUCCCCACUGCUGCCUCCCGUAGGAGUCUGGGCCGUGUCUCAGUCCCAGUGUGGCUGAUCAUCCUCUCAGACCAGCUACGGAUCGUCGCCUUGGUGAGCCGUUACCUCACCAACCAGCUAAUCCGACAUAGGCUCAUCCGAUAGCGCGAGGCCCGAAGGUCCCCCGCUUUCCCCCGUAGGGCGUAUGCGGUAUUAGCCUGGGUUUCCCCCAGGUUAUCCCCCACUACCGGGCAGAUUCCUAUGCAUUACUCACCCGUCCGCCGCUCGCCACCAGGGAGCAAGCUCCCCGUGCUGCCGCUCGACUUGCAUGUGUUAGGCCUGCCGCCAGCGUUCAAU
rnacentral:rRNA from 1 species